UGCGUGAGAAAGUUAUUGAUGUUAGCGCAUGAAUAAGGGGCUCCUAACUCUGUGCCAGCAGGAGCGGUAAUACAGAGGCCCCAAGCAUUAUCCGGAAUCACUGGGCGUAAAGGGUGUGUAGGCGGCUAUGUUAGUCUUUUGUGAAAGGUCUUGGGCUUAACCCAGGAACCGCAGGGGAAACGGCAUAGCUUAGAGGAUGUGAGAGGUAAAGGGAACUCAUGGUGUAGGGGUGAAAUCCGUUGAUAUCAUGGGGAACACCAAAUGCGAAGGCACUUUACUGGCACACUCCUGACGCUGAGACACGAAAGCGUGGGAAUCGAAUGGGAUUAGAUACCCCAGUAGUCCACGCCCUAAACGAUCCGAACUGGUUUUGAGGAGUAUCGACCCUCUUCGAGACGAAGCUAACGCGUUAAGUUCGGCGCCUGGGUAGUACGAUCGCAAGAUUAAAACUCAAAGGAAUAGACGGGGACUUGCACAAGCGGUGGAUCAUGCGGCUCAAUUCGAUGACAAACGAAGAACCUCACCAGGAUUAGAAAUCCAGACGAUUGCCCUAGGAAACUAGGGCGUCCGCAAGGCGGCUGGACAGGUGAUGCAUGGUCGUCGUCAGUUCGUGGCUUGAGUUGUUCCCUUCAGUGGGGUAACGAACGCAACCCUCGUUGCCUGUUUUAUUAGUCAGGCGAGACUGCCCCCUCACGGGGGAGGAAGGUGAGGAUGACGCCAGAUCAGCAUGUCCCUCUGAUAUCCUGGGCUGCACGCAUGAUACAAUGCACUCGACAACAAGAAGCAAUGGGGUAACCCGGAGCAAAUCUUAUAAACAAGUGCCCAGUUCGGAUUGAGGUCUGCAACCCGACCUCAGAAGCCGGAAUCG
rnacentral:rRNA from 1 species